rnacentral:misc_RNA from 1 species
UACGGAGGGGGCAAGCGUUAAUCGGAAUUACUGGGCGUAAAGCGCACGCAGGCGGUCUGUCAAGUCUGAUGUGAAAUCCCCGGGCUCAACCUGGGAACUGCAUCCGAAACUGGCAGACUAGAGUCUUGAAGAGGGGGGUAGAAUUCCAGGUGUAGCGGUGAAAUGCGUAGAGAUCUUGAGGAAUACCGGUGGCGAAGGCGGCUCUCUGGACAAAGACUGACGCUCAGGUGCGAAAGCAUGGGGAGCAAACAGG